UUCUUACUUGUCAGCGUUGCCCACUCGCCCGCCACCCAGAGUUGCAUUCGCAUUAUCUCUUCACUCUUUAUGAGCACUUCCUUAAAUUAAAAAAAGAAAAUAAUCCAAUAGGGCAAUUUUACUUCCGAUUUGUCGUUUCUACGUAUUAAAUUGUUAACUGUUGACAAUGGGACAAUGGAACACCCAAAUGCAUUGUGAAACUGUGAUAAAUCUGGUUUGGCUAAAAACACACAACACAACAGAGAGAUCAAACGAGAUGAGGCGGCAACUAGAAAUAAGGCCUAUUUCCAAAGCCGUAACAAUUUCCAACAAAUAAAAUGUUUAUCAUUUGUUUUGUGACAUGCACAACGGGGUGUGCGAAUUACAGUCGAGCCCUGGACACAGCCCUGACUGCCCUCGUCCUGUCGUCCCUUUGCGGCUGAGCCUGAUAAUGACAUUACCCAGCGGCCAAGCACUGCAUGACGUCACAGCGCUGCCACACCAGGUCACAAACAUAAAGCGACAAAUUGACGCAAACAUUUAACACACACAUUGCCCCGCCCCUCCCCAACAAGGAUCGCAGAACGCAAUGCUCAGGACAUGGUCAACAGGGCUAUAGAAGGGCCUGCAGCAGGGCGUUGGCGGCUUCUCUUGAUGGUGGAACACCUACGAAAAAAUUCCUUUGAAUUACGUUGUUGCAGCGCCUGCCAGCCUGCCUGCUUGCAUGUAUGUGUGUCGGUUUUUUUUUUUUUUUUUUUUUGUUAAGCCCUGAGCUAUGCGCAAAAAAGGACAUCUUCGCUGGCUGUGCACUCCAUUAUGCAUUUUAUGUGCGCCCUCAUUCAGUGUCUGUUGACAUUUUUAUUCCAAGCAGUUAAGCAAUAUUUCCAUUAACGUGUGGUCGGAUCGGAGUCCAACAAUCUAUAAAUGUAUGUAUAUAAAGAGGAGGAAGAAGAGCUCCACUAAUCAUCCCAUCUUAAAUCCUUAUAAUCUGCCUUUUAAUAGGAGACCUCAAGCUUUAACUCUAUCCUGUUUUCUAUGCUAAUUCGCUGUUAAUUGAUGCACAAACAUUUCGGUAUUUAUUGUUGUUGGCUAGUCGCAGUGGGCAGGACUUGAAGGCACCUUGAAUGGAGGGCUCAUUUAAUUGAAUCAAAAUAUUUUUGCACGCACCAAUUCAAUUUACAUUGUUUAUAUGGAGCAGGAGCCAGAGUGAUUGCCGCAGGUGAAAAUGCCAGCAGUUGUAUCAUUUAUAUUAUUGUAAAAUCUUCUUUAGCUAACUUGAGAUGUUGCUGUUGUUGUUGUUAGAGGAUCGCCCGCCCAGUGAGCAAUUUGCCGGAUAAAUGGUUUUUGCUGUAAUUACGAACAUUUCUCUCUUUCUUUUUGUGCUCUUUGUAUUUGUCGGCCUCUUGGCGUCUACUAAUUAUCACAUUUUUACUCAUUAAAGUCACAUUUGCCUUACAGGACCUGUCGCUGUGAGUCCUGGCUGCUGCUGCUGCUACUGCUGCUACUACGGUUUGCUUAAUUAUAGGGCCAAAAGGCAAAGCGACGUCUGCUACUUGCUAGGUAAUCAGCCUUUCAGUCGUUUUGGCUACCGUAUUAAAAGGACGAACGCUUGAUGAUGAUUGAUUAGGCGCUGGGUAAGACAAGCCAACCAAGCCAAGCCUAGCCGAGUCAAUCACCGAUGAGCUUCUUAUGUAGGCCAAGCAUCUUUUGCAUCUGCUCAGCUGCGACAACUGUGCAAAUGCAGCGCGUGGCUAAGAGACCCACAGAGCGGGGCAGCUGUAGCUCUAGCUGUAGCUGAAGCUAAACAACAAAUCGAAAACUGAUUUGGAGCGGAAGUUCGUUUGCACCUUUCAGCAGUUUCCUGUGUGUGCAAAGCAACAACAGCGACAACCACAACAACAACAGCAACAACUAUACAAACGCUCACAUCUGUACAUAUGUACAUAGUAGUAUGUUUGUAUAUAGCACACGCAUGUCAAGACUUCAUUUGUAAUUUGCGCUACUUCGACGUUUGGCCUUUGACGCCGCAUUCCUUUGUCUUGGAACUGAACGCAACGGAACGGGGCGGGGCGAGCGCGCGAUAUAUUCGCAAAUCAAAAGCUAUAUAGAUUAAGAUUGCCCUCCUGUGUAUAUAUAGGGAAACGCAAAGGAUCUGGGCAUAUAUAUGCAAAGCGCUGCCAAGGAGCAGCUGUCGCCGUUGUUUGAUUUGCGAUUGCGACGCUGGCGGAAAUGGAAUGACACGCAAGGCACAAAGGCAGCCCGACAGCCCAGCCCUAGCCAGCCAGUCAGUCAGCCACUCCACGUCUUUGUUUGGCAGCUCGUCGCAAAAAGAUUGGCAAAAUGGAAAUCGAAAUUUACAAGAAAAAAAACUGAUAUCUUUGAAAUUGAACUAGAAAUACUCUUGCUAAGAUAAGAGUCAAGAUGAAAGGAGAAACUAAAAAUAAUUUUGUUAGCAUGUAGAAAGUGUUUUUUACUGAUUGAUUAUAGUCAGAUUAUAUUUGUAGUUCAAUGUACUAACAUUAGAGCAGACACAUUUAUAUUUUCAUUUUAUGAUCGACUGUUACAUCUGAUAGCUAUGGCUAAGAAGGAUCGAAUCAGCUUGAAUCCGUAAGAUGAGAACUUGUUCCUUUGCAGAAAUAGUUGGCUCUACGGACUUAAAAACGCUUCCUUCACCGUGCUACAAAUCUCAUUGGAAAUGGAGAGGACCCUCUGUCAGUGUGCGGCAAAAUCUAUUUCACCAAACACACGCACUGCGGCAGCAGGAGAAUAGCGAGGGCCAGCUAAGCGGACUGCCUGGCAUGCUUAUAGUAAAUACUAUAUGUGCAUUUAUGCUGUAGUUUUCCGAGCGACUGCACAUGGCAAUGCAGCCCAUGCUAAUGCUAAUGCCUCUGCCCCUGUCCCUGCCUCAUGUUUUGUGUGCACAAUCAGCGCGCGCUGGCAGCAGCUGCUGCUGUUGCUGCUAUUACUGUUGUUGCAACAAGGUGUAAACAUGACCAGCGCGUGUCCUAAGGAAGUGGCGCGCACUUGAUGUCUCAUUAUUACAAUGCUUCACACAGGUUAAUGAUGCGCGCUCUGUGCUUGCUUCCGUGUGUCACAAUUAUGCGAGGCAGCUGAGCUUGAAGCGCGGGUCGGCGUCGCGGGGUCGAUUCGUUGACCUCUGCAGCCACUGCCAAAAAGCAACUAUAAAUGCCGGAUUGGGGUGAAGGCAAACAAUUCCAGCUUGGUUUUAUGUGCCAUCAUAAAUGUCAGGUGCGUAGGUCAUUCCACCAAAAAUUUAUUCAACAUAAUUAGUUGUGGCAAUUACAGCAGACGUUGGGCACAAUGUGCGGCAACUAAUUUGAUUUUGAAACUCGGACCAAUUGUGACUAAUGAGUGGCGCACACGUUGCUAAAGCAAACACGGACCAUACAAAUACUACAAAACCCAUCCCAAGUGGAAGAAUGAAAGCCUGCCCCAAAGCCCACAUACCCCACUUUGCCACCUCCCGAGCAGAGCAUUUAAAUUGGUUUUGCUUCUGGCCUUGUGGCCAGCAACAUGAUUUAAGAUAGACACUAAAGCAUUUACACCUGCAGCUGCCACGCCCCUGCGUUCACGUGCUCGACAUAAAGGAAGCACACAGAAGAAAACAAAAAUGCAUAAGCGAUUAUUUGUAGAGUGCGCGUGCUUGGCCGCAGGACAUCAGUGAGCCACAAAACCAGGCCAAAAAAUGGAUUUUAGGAAUCGUUAUCAGCACAUUUCGUGACUAUGGCUAAAAAUAUUGAAGCAGCACAACCAAUACUCUGUUCGUGUGUGGGUGUGCUGGUGUGUGUUUGGGGACAGUUGCAGUUGGGGCUGUGCCAAUUCGUGUUCACGUCGUUAUCCUUGCCCCGGAUGCACAACAAUCAAAAUAAACUGCUGCCAAAUUGACCAUUGACCAAACAUCGUCAACAGCAACAGUAGCCAUCCUAGGCAGCCCCCACGCCGCCUCCUUGGCAUUGUCACGUCCUUGGCAUGGGCCACAAGUCAAAACGAGCAGCAACAACAGCAAAUGGAGAAAAAGACCAAACAUGCAGUUUGGGCAACUUGGCAAUUUUUGUGUAUGCUGCAAUGAUUGGAUAUAGAUAGUUGGACAGCUAGAUAGCUGCUAUAUAAUCGAACAUCGGGUCUUUAGCCAUGGAUAACGCAAAUCGAUUGGCUUUAAGCCAACUCAAAGUUGGGUCAGUUAAACAAACAACAAUUAUGGCCAGGAUGAUAUAUCAUAAUACUUAUGAUGGAAGCAGGAACUCUGGCUAACUUCUGAAUUAUGAUUGAACUCGCAAGAAGCUAGCUUGAGGCACAUUCUCACCUUCAUGCUGCAGUUCCACCUUUUUUACCUGGAAAAGUGGACAAAGGCAGCCGUUUGAGCGUUCUAGAGUGUCCGUUGUUUUUGUUCAUGCGAUUUGCGAUGUAAUUGUGGAAUAAUGAAAUCGCUAAAGAGAUUCCAACUGCAACAUCAAGCAUCACCGGGACGCGUCGUCUGGUCCAUUUAUGGAUUGGCAUUGAUUUAAUACCGCAUCCAUGAGACGAUCUAUGCGCUGGAUGACUCGCAUCCCCAGAGUCCAAGGCGCAAGGCAUUUUGCACCUACCUACAUACAUAUAUCUAGAAAUAUAUCUAUAUGUAUAUACACAUAUGAACAAACGAAGGAACGCACGCAGCUGAUCUGAUUCCUUCGCUGUUUUUUUUUUCUUUAUCAACGCUGCCAGAUCUGCAGAGCAGACGCCACCGAAGUGGGUAUUGGGGAUUGGGGCAACUUGGGGACUGGUCAUUGGAGCGCCUGCAAAAAUGUUUAUUCAAUAAACCCGAUCCGCCAGCUGGCCGUGGCCGUCCAGUGCCUCCGUCUCCACCUCCGCCGUUUGCAGACAUUCCCCAUUCAAGACAAGCCGCUGGAAUUUCUUGGUGCGUGCUUGGCACAGGUUCGGGCUGUGGCCAGGCUCCAGCUUGCAGCAUUUGGCGUCUGCCAGCUGCGCCGUCGCACUGCGUCCGCUGAUUAUGAUAAUGGAGGCGACUCUCGACCACGACUCGCCACUCGCCACUCGCCACUCUCGGCUCACAGCUCACAGCUCGCAGCUCGUCGCCAAUUGCUUUCGUUUAUGAUCGAAUGCUUGGCAGCUCCGUUGACUUUCUGAUUAAUGCAAGAAUUCUACGCAGCGUUCCUUCAGCUACAGCUUCUGUUCAGUGUUUUUUGUUGUUUUUCAGUUGCUGUCCGAUCAGCCUGCAAUUAAAAGCCAUGUACCUUUCGAUAGCCAGCUAAAUGGCAAGUGUGCAAAUCAUUAUAUACACACGAUCAUGCCGCAAAUGCCUGAUGAGCUGUACGAGAGCAGUUCAAGGAGUCCCACUGCAGUUGCUCGGCUGACUUUAAUAUAAUAUAUCGACUGUAUCACUCAAAGUCCGCAACAGGGUAUUACUCCCACAUAUUCAAGGUUUAAUAUCCGGUCAAAGGCGUGAACUAUGUUUCCAAGCGUUUUUUGAUUGAAUCACGAGCCGAACCACCAGGAAAACAUUCGUGUUUACAAGUCCACUCUCGAGGAUAGAGAAACCCACACUAUAGAUCAAAACAUAUGUGGAACCAUAAAGUCAGAAGCGUUACCAUAAUCAGCAUGAUUCAGUCGGAGAUUUAGUUCAAACAGAGAGAGAAAGGUAGGGAGAGAGUAAAAUGCAUAGUGAUAGGUAGAGAAAUAUAGAGCCAGAUAGGUCAAAAGGGAGAGCGAUAGGUAUAGAGAGAGAAAUAUAGAUAUAAAGAGAGAGGGAGAAGCAUGGAGGGUUAGAGCAUCGCUGCUUCGAUAUGGAUCAACAGCUUUGCACGGUUAAAUUCCUGGACUCAGCUGCAGCUCUUACUGGUUCUGGCGUCGCCCGCUGGGUGUGCGAGUGUGUGAGUGAGAGACCAGAUGCACAACUGUCGAUCGACAGCCGAGAGCUGAGAGCUUCGAGCUGCAAGCCGAGAACCGGCAGUCAACAGUCGACAGUCGACAGCCUCGUGCCUGCAGUUGUCAUAACGUUCAACACGUUUGCCGCCCCUCGUCUUGGCUGAGAAUGGCUGCACCCGGCGCCGUCUCCAUGCCCGGCUGUUGCUUCUGCGCUUCCAUAAAAGGAUUUGUCACGUGCGAGCUUUUGUUAAAAAUUCAGCAAUCAUCAAGCAAUCGCAAUCUCUCCAUUGUAUCGAUGUCGGCAUCAGCCAUCGGCCAUCGCCCAUCGGCUUCGCUUGCAUUAUGCAUGGCACAUGGCACAGCUCCUGCCUGGUCGGUAGCGGCAUUCCUGCUUUAAUUCAAGCAGCGUCCCAAACAAGGACUUGCUCCUAGCGUCCAUAUGGUCGAACGCAUCAUGCUCGACGCCUCGCGUCCAACACCCCUCGACGAGCCCGCCCUCCUGGCCAAUCAUUGAAAUUUAUAAUUAAGUACAAAAAUGUUGUAAGGACGCCGACGACAGGAUCUGAGAGAUGCCAAAGAUAGAACAGAGCCCUAGAAGCCUACCUCCAGCUGAAUCGCACCCCAUAAUGGUGGCCAGCUAUUAAUAGAGUUAUUUGGGAGGUGUUUGGGUAAGUUUACCUAAAGAUGCUUGAAGUUUCUUGAAUAAAUAACAAUGAUCCAGUUUACAGGCCACUGAUGAUAGGAGCCAAACACAAAUGCCCCUUAGCCACUUUAAAAGGGUAUACAAAUAGUCGUAGGUCUACUGCGGUCUAUUAACAGGAGCUAAUUCCCGAUUCGGAUGCCAGCAAUGGCUUGUUGUGUGGUUCUGAUGUUGGGUUUUGGCCAAGCGGCAGAUGAAUGAGCUAUGCCAUUGACAAUUACCGUUACGCAUACACACACAUGCACACACUCACAAGCACGCACACAAGGGUAAAUAGAGGCUUUGUGAUGGGCCUGGCUAAUUCAUGACUUUGAGGACUCUUUGGGCAAACAAUUGAAAAGCAAGACGAAGACCAAAAUACACUUGACAUUCAUUAUGCAUGUGUGUGUGAGUGUAAGUGUGAGUGUGUGGUUGUGUGUGCCAAUCAAGCGUAGAAUCAAUCAAAUUGCAAUAGAAUUGUCAAUGGCCACAGCAAACAGUAAAAAGAAAUAUUGUAAACUACUCAGACUGCAAGCCUUUGCAGGAUCCAUUUGAAAAAGGAAGGAACAAAUUCGUUUUAGGGCCGGGGCAUGGGCUUUGGCUUCGGCAUGCUCGUAAUCCCAGUGCUAGAGCCAACGACUGCCAGUUGGCGACGGGUGAGGGACAACGAGCAACUGGACUGUGCUGUUGUCCACAGGUAAACACAAAUCCUAACAACGUGUCCUGGUCAGGGGACGACGCCGCAUUUAUUUGGCGAGUGCGAAUGGACUUUUUGCAUGUGCCACAGUGCAAACAAAAGAAAAAGGAGAGAAGUGGCGGCAGAGCAACGACUGCAUAAUUCUCUGGCUAAAGGCACACAGGGUGUUGGCAGAUUCUCGAAUAUCGAAUUUGAGACGAAUGACUGUUGGAAUGUUACUUGGAAUAUGGCGGUAUAUUAACGGGCGUGGCAAUAAGAUUACACAUCUUUAUCUUGAGGGGAGGCAAAAAGACUCUUUCCUGCAGCUCGAGAAAUAAAUGUGAGAGAUAAUAUAAAUAUUUCAUAUCGUAAAGCAGCAAAAGUUGGAAACUUCAUUAGCUAACUUAAGGACUGUAUUGACCCUCUGAGGGAUUAUUUAACUCCUAAUUAGAAGAGAAAAAAAAAUGGAUAGAGUGCAUUGGUAUAAGUAGUAAUCACUAUAACUAUCCAGAUGAAAUAUAUUAUAUGAAACAAAUUAAAUUAUCUUGAGCAACAAUUACAAUCGACAUUUGAAAUGCCUUCCCCAGCCAAUAUACCCCUCAGCAAUUCCGAGACUUCCGAGAGUGUAACAAAAAUGCUAGCUAUAGCUACAACUGCUGUUUGGACACGAGCCUACACUUCGGAACAAGCAGAAAAUGGGACAUGCACCUGUGUUUGCACUCAAAUCCCGUUGUUUGUUUCGUGCGGCACGAGAGACAGAGAGAUGCGUGCAGCAGUAACAGCAACAGGAACAGCAAUGACAACAGCAAGGGGCACUUGGUUAUUCGAUUUGGAUGCACUUACCACGUUGACAAAGUCCUGGAACGUCACAUAGCCUGGCCCGACGGGUAGUUGGGCCUUCUUCGCACGCUCCAGCAACAGUUCACGCUUGUUCAUAGGCACUUGGGAAACAAACUCCGGCGAUCUCAGGGCGACCAAAAACUCGCUAACAGAUAUUUCACCAAAGCCUUCCGGAUCGAA